UGGGGAAUAUUGGACAAUGGGCGCAAGCCUGAUCCAGCCAUGCCGCGUGAGUGAUGAAGGCCUUAGGGUUGUAAAGCUCUUUUGCCGGGGACGAUAAUGACGGUACCCGGAGAAUAAGUCCCGGCUAACUUCGUGCCAGCAGCCGCGGUAAUACGAAGGGGACUAGCGUUGUUCGGAAUCACUGGGCGUAAAGCGCACGUAGGCGGAUUUGUAAGUCAGGGGUGAAAUCCCGGGGCUCAACCUCGGAACUGCCUUUGAUACUGCGGAUCUCGAGUCCGAUAGAGGUGAGUGGAAUUCCUAGUGUAGAGGUGAAAUUCGUAGAUAUUAGGAAGAACACCGGUGGCGAAGGCGGCUCACUGGAUCGGUACUGACGCUGAGGUGCGAAAGCGUGGGGAGCAAACAGGAUUAGAUACCCCAGUAGUCCCUGAGCGGGCUGGCAAGGCGCAU
rnacentral:rRNA from 1 species